rnacentral:rRNA from 1 species
AGCAGCCGCGGUAAUUCCAGCUCCAGUAGCGUAUAUUAAAGUUGUUGCAGUUAAAAAGCUCGUAGUUGAAUUUCGGGAUUGACACAUCGGUCGUGCCUUAAGGGGUAUGAACUGGUGUAGUCAAUUUCUCACCUUCUGGAGAACCGCGAUGCCCUUAAUUGGGUGUCACGGGGAACCAGGACCUUUACUUUGAAAAAAUUAGAGUGUUUAAAGCAGGCAUUUUGCUUGAAUACAUUAGCAUGGAAUAAUAAAAUAGGACGGCAUGAUUCUAUUUUGUUGGUUUCUAGGAUCACCGUAAUGAUUAAUAGGGAUAGUUGGGGGCAUUAGUAUUCAAUUGUCAGAGGUGAAAUUCUUGGAUUUAUUGAAGACUAACUACUGCGAAAGCAUUUGCCAAGGAUGUUUUCAUUAAUCAAGAACGAAAGUUAGGGGAUCGAAGACGAUCAGAUACCGUCGUAGUCUUAACCAUAAACUAUGCCGACUAGGAAUCAGACGAUGUUAAUUUUUUAAUGACUCGUUUGGC